rnacentral:lncRNA from 7 species
GGCCGCCGCCACUUGCCAGGACUUCCUGCAGCAGAGCGCCCCUGCAGCUCCUUGCACCUGCAUCCUACGCGCGCUCCAGCCGACCACGCCCAGGAACCAGUGCAGCGCUCCAUCAUCAGUAGGUGACUGACGGCACAUGCGCCACCAUGCCAAUCAUCCAUAUGAUCCGUCUCCCACAUGCCUGCCCGCCGUAGGCUGCAAACGGGCAGGGUCGUUGUGUCUACGCUGCGGCUGCGGCUACCGACGGCGUCCUGAUUGGACUAUUGGAGAGGAGAGGAAGCCGUCGUGCCGCGUGACAACAAUGCUGCGGCUGGACGGACGUGUCGGCGAGCAGUCCAGCUUGCCGCUGCGUGUCCAACCCCAAGGUGAUGAGGAACAAGUUUGCUACCGAGGAUGAGUAAGACAAUGAAGAAUAUUGUGCUUCUGAAGAUGAGGAAUUAGAUGAUGAGGAUGAUCAAAUAUUUCAUUAGAUGCAAGGUGCAAACUCACCAAAAUCUACAAGGCACUUUGCUGAAGCUUCACACUCUAAACAUGAUGAUCUAGCUAGCUAUCUGUAAAUGAUCUAGUUGUGAAUGAUAUUAUAAUUGUGAUGCUUUUGUGAAUAUAUAAUUGUGUUGCUUUUGUGUUUAUGUGAUGGAUCUAUGACUAUGGUAUACCGAUUAACUGUGUGUCUUUAUGAUUUGUGUAUAAAAAAUUGUGAUUUGUGGUGC